ACAUUGGGGGCUCUGGGGUCCUUCGGCACAGUGGGGACGGGCGGUUGUGGGGCCGUUGGGGCUGCUGGGGCUCCCGCUUGGAUUCUGCUCUAUGUUUUAUCCACGAGGAAAGCAUCCCCAGCCCUAAUGUGUCUGGGCACGAACCGACACGUCCCUGACAAAUUACGAGGCGUAAUUAAUUCGGCCAUUAAUGAAUCAGCAUCUUUACGGUAACAGGGCCAUUAAAUACCCGCAGGACGGACACCUCGAGGGCCGGCGCCGAUCCCACGGCACCAGCAGUGACAGAGACACGGGGGCUGUUGUCAUAUCUGACCGCCUCGCCUUCCCCCCGCGCCGCUGCCAGGACACCAAAUGGCUGCUCAGAUAGCGGAGAGCUUUUGGGCCAUCAAAUGGAAACCAUUGAGUGGAGAGAGGCAGAGGAGCAGAAAGGCUGAAGGGCAGCAGAGCAAACAGACACUGCAAUGGGCAGCAAAAUAAACAGUGUGGGGAACAGAGGUGGAGUGAGAUCAGCUGGGAGAUAGGAGAGAUAAACACAGGGGAGACAGCGGGACGGACAGACGGACAGAUGGGGUGAGAGAAGAUCCACCCCCCCACAUUGCUGCCAGCACUGCGCCUUCACAUGGGUGCUUUUGGGGCAAAAAAAUGCCUUUUUUGGGUCGUUAUCCUCAUUGCUUUGUCAGGGUGGGAGAAUGUGGUUUCUCCCUUCUUGUUUGUGCCCCAUAGGCGCCAUCAACACCCCCAUGCGAUGCCCCAUAGGAGCCCCACUGUAGUGCAGUACCCCAUAGAUGCCCCAUAGGCGCUAGAACACCCCCAUGCAAUACCCCAUAGGUGCCCCAUAGAUGCCAUGGACACCCCCAUGCAAUGCCCCAUAGGAGCCCCACUGUAGUGCAAUACCCCAUAGGUGCCCCAUAGAUGCCAUGGACACCCCCAUGCGAUGCCCCAUAGGAGCCCCACUGUAGUGCAAUACCCCAUAGAUGCCCCAUAGGCGCUAGAACACCUCCAUGCAAUACCCCAUAGGUGCCCCAUAGAUGCCAUGGACACCCCCAUGCGAUGCCCCAUAGGAGCCCCAGUGUAGUGCAAUACCCCAUAGGUGCCCCAUAGGCACCAUCAACACCCCCAUGCGAUGCCCCAUAGGAGCCCCAGUGUAGAGCAAUACCCCAUAGGCGCUAUGAUCGCCCCCCAUGCAGUGCCCCACUGUGCCCCACAGGUGCCACAACGCCCC